GUAUUAUCAUUAUUAAAGCAAAAAUGCUUAUAUCCUAACAUUCUAUAGACUUUCAAGUGUGUUUAAAAAACAUAGACCAACAAAAGUCAGCCUACAAAAAGUGCACAUGGGUGUAAAAUUUGGAAUCAAGGUGUGCACAUAUCUUUUUGUUAAGAAAAGAUCAGCUACAACCUCUUUCAAAAAUUCAAUAAUGAUCCUUCCGCAGGUUCACCUACGGAAA
rnacentral:misc_RNA from 1 species